AAAAAUUUAGUUAAAAAAAUAACGUUAGUUUGUCAAGCUAAAAUUAUUGGUUCAAUAAUUUUUA
rnacentral:tRNA from 1 species